UUAAAAGUAGUUUAAAUUAGAAUAAUAGUUUUGGGGACUUUUGGUCAAAUAUUUUGCUUUUAAA
rnacentral:tRNA from 1 species